rnacentral:rRNA from 1 species
UACAGAGGGUGCGAGCGUUGUCCGGAAUCACUGGGCGUAAAGGGCGCGUAGGCGGCCGGGCCAGUCGGUGGUGAAAGCUCGGGGGCUCAACUCCGAGUCGGCCACCGAUACUGCCGGGCUAGAGUGACUAGAGGCCGAUGGAAUUCCGGGUGUAGCGGUGGAAUGCGUAGAGAUCCGGAAGAACACCGGUGGCGAAGGCGGCCUGCUGGGCUAUGGCUGACACUGAGGCGCGACAGCGUGGGGGAGCAAACAGG